AUUGAACGCUAGCGGCAGGCCUAACACAUGCAAGUCGAACGAGUGGCGGACGGGUGAGUAAUAUAUGGGAACGUGCCCAGUAGAGGGGGAUAACUACUAGAAAGUGUGGCAAAUACCGCAUACUCUGGGCGAGGCCGAUAUGGGAUUAGCUAGUUGGUGGGGAAACGGCUAACCAAGGCCACGAUCCGUAGCUGGUUGGAGAGGCAGACCAGCCACACUGGAACUGAGACACGGCCCAGACUCCUACGGGAGGCAGCAGUGGGGAAUUUUGGACAAUGGGGGCAACCCUGAUCCAGCCAUGCCGCGUGUAUGAGAAGGCCUUCGGGUUGUAAAGUACUUUUGGCGGGGAGGCGGUAUCUGCAGAAGAAGCACCGGCUAACUCCGUGCCAGCAGCCGCGGUAAUAC
rnacentral:rRNA from 1 species